UCACCUGCCGAAGCAACUAGCCCUGAAAAUGGAUGGCGCUCUAGCGUCGUGCCUAUACCGGGCCGUCAACGGCAAAGUGGGCUGGUGUCCGGCCGGCCGACAAGCCGGCCGGCUCGGCCGUUAAGCCUUGACGAGUAGGAGGCGCGCGGCGGUGUGCGCAGAAGGGUCUGGGCGCGAGCCUGCCUGGAGCCGCCGUCGGUGCAGAUCUUGGUGGUAGUAGCAAAUACUCUAGCGAGGGCCUGGAGGGCUGAUGUGGAGAAGGGUUUCUUGUGAACAGCCGUUGCACAAGAGUCAGUCGACCCUAAGCCCUAGGAGAAAUCCGAUGUUGAUGGGCAGCGAUUCAUGCAGAAAUGUUGAAAUGCUCCCGUCGGGCGAAAGGGAAUCCGGUUCCUAUUCCGGAACCCGGCCGCGGAACCGUAACUUCGCGGGCACUCGCCUGCGAGCGCUCGUCGGGGUAACCCAAAAUGACCCGGAGACGCCGGCGGGAGGUCUGGAAAGAGUUGUCUUUUCUUUAUAAGCGUUCGAGUUCCCUGGAAUCCUAUAGCAGGGAGAUAGGGUUUGGAACGCGAAGAGCACCGCAGUUGCGGCGGUGUCCGGACCUUCCCCCCGGACCUUGAAAAUCCGGGUGAGGGCUACGCGGAAUGUCGCGCCGGCUCGUACCCAUAUCCGCAGCAGGUCUCCA
rnacentral:rRNA from 1 species